GACGAACGCUGGCGGCGUGCUUAACACAUGCAAGUCGAACGAUGAUGCCCAGCUUGCUGGGUGGAUUAGUGGCGAACGGGUGAGUAACACGUGAGUAACCUGCCCCUGACUCUGGGAUAAGCGUUGGAAACGACGUCUAAUACUGGAUAUGACUGCCGGCCGCAUGGUCUGGUGGUGGAAAGAUUUUUUGGUUGGGGAUGGACUCGCUGCCUAUCAGCUUGUUGGUGAGGUAAUGGCUCACCAAGGCGACGACGGGUAGCCGGCCUGAGAGGGUGACCGGCCACACUGGGACUGAGACACGGCCCAGACUCCUACGGGAGGCAGCAGUGGGGAAUAUUGCACAAUGGGCGAAAGCCUGAUGCAGCAACGCCGCGUGAGGGAUGACGGCCUUCGGGUUGUAAACCUCUUUUAGUAGGGAAGAAGCGAAAGUGACGGUACCUGCAGAAAAAGCACCGGCUAACUACGUGCCAGCCGCCGCGGUAA
rnacentral:rRNA from 1 species